rnacentral:lncRNA from 1 species
AGAUCGCAUGGAUUAGUGUUUAAAAGUGCAUUACUUUUAUUUUAAAACCAUUGUGCUAAUGUAGCUCAGUCUAUCUAUAAUUGAAAGACGAUCCUUAUUCUUAGAUUUAAACAUUGGCCAGUGACCUUUCCAACUUUUGGAGAUUUCCAGAACAUAAAGAAAAGAAAGCUUAGUUUAAUUAAAUGCUGUAAGCCAGCACAGUUCCUUGUCUGCCUUAUUUGCUUAGCAUGUUUCUACAAUAGGUAAUGAUAAUUUUCCCCCAAUAACUGAGGUCAACAGCAGCAAAUUCCAGUGCCUCUGCAGCCAGGCAUAUGUAUAGGACCCUGUGACCUGAUCAAGGCCAAAGAAGUUUCCAGCCUCCUCAGAUCCUCACUGGUGCUCAGAUUUCUGUGAUUAUCAGUCACCUCUUCAUCCCAGCCCUGUUCUCUUCUGCCGUCCCUCUGACACAAGAACAGAAAAUGAAAUACCGCAUAUUCUCACUCAUAGCCAUUGUUCCACACCAGACAUUCUGUAUAUUAUGACUAUGCCAAAGAUCAUGAAGCAGGAAGAAUGAUGCCGACUCAUUGAUGCUUACCUUCAGUGAUAUAAGAGUUCGUUUAGAAAUGUGACACUACUGAAAAGAUACAUGUUUUCCCUCAUUAUGGUUGUAGAGUUUCGUUGCUGCUCCAAAGAAUGGUAGGUGCAAAAAGAGUUCUGGUAAAGGUGUAAAUAAUUUUGACACUUAUGUUAAUUAGUUGGUCAAGCACUAAAACUUAAGCAUUUACUUUUUAAAAGGUAACUUUUUUUUUGUUACUUUGAAGAAGAGCAUCCAUUUAUACUAACAGUAAGAAAACGAGAAAACAAUAAGAAAACAAGGUUUUCUCCAAGAGUGUUUUAGAAAUCUCUCUGAACCUUUAAUUGUGUUACAUUGACAUUUUUAAUAUUUUAAGACCCAAUCAAAUUAUAAAACUCUAAAUGGUAAACAUUUUACUUUGUGUAUAAAAGAAGCUUUAAUAAUCAACAAUAAAUUGGCUUAAGGUAUUCCAGAGACAGAAAAUUUGAGCAGAAGUAUUUCCUGUAGAGUAUAUGGUACAUUCUUGACCCUUCCACUCUGAUCAGCUUCAAUUAGAAAUAAAGGAAGAUGAU